rnacentral:lncRNA from 1 species
GUACUGCCUAAAUUAUUUACUAUUGUAUUGUGCGUAUUUAAAUUGGUAGUUUUUAUGGUCUUCUCAAUUAUUUGGUUAUUUGGCUUAUCUAACAUUGUUUAUUUAGUAUUUUGGUUAUUUGAUUUUUCACAUAUGCUAAACUAUAUCGCUUGCUUAGGUGUCGUUUAAAUUAUUUUGUGAAUAUGAAAUGAAAUGUUGGUAUGUGUUGGUAGUUAUUUGGAUGAUGAGAAU